UUGUCUCACUGCCCCCAUUUGCAGAGCUGGCCAUGAGCAGGGCUGGGAGUGCACACUCGUCUGUGACCUUGCUGCAGAACUGUCUGUUCAGAUCACACCCUUGAAAGCUAACACCUGAAGGAAGAUGUGCUGAAAGUGAGGAGUGCAAAACAUCUCUCUUUGGAGCUGGGAGGGAAACCUGGGGAUUUCGGUCACCUGUGACAUCUGCAGCAGCAAUGGAAGUGCAUUCACCUGGCUGACUUUCUGGUUCCUACACCAUACAUCUGCUCCCACCUUGAAGUUCCCCUGACAGCUUCUGUAAUGUACAAAACCUCGUGGAAAACGAAGCAGGCACAUCAUUUAAAUCAAAUGGUUUUCCUUGUGGAUAACUGGGAUUAUGCUUGUUUGGAUAGUCUUAAUUCUGGACUUCCGAAGCUCUGAGUACUAGAUCUUAAAAAUUGUUCUUCAGACCUUGGUUCAGGGGAAAAAAGGAAGGAAGGAAAAAAAGAAGUGAAAUUUGUCACUUUGAUAGAAGAGAGAAGUUGGUCUUCUUCUCAUUGUUGUCGUGUAAUUUUUUAUUUUUUGAGAUAUGUUCUAUAUAAAGUCAUAGUAAUUUUAUCUGUGUUGAUUUUAGGCUUCAUCUUGAGGUUGUCUACAAAAACAGUGCUGGUCUCUGUUGGUAAUGAGCCUGUAAGGGUGACUUGAGGUCGGGCCAGAUUGUGCCAUACACAAAGUGCAAAUCUCUCUGAUACAAUGAAUGUGUUUAGCUCUCAUGUUGGCUGGCAGCAUUUAACUGCUUUCUGUAUAUUUUCCCUUUCUUAGUGAUGCUAUGCUCUCAAUCUGCUCAAAAAUCGUGGACACUUAAAAAAACAAAAACAAACAAACAAAACAAAACAACAACAACAACAAAACACAAAAUUUCAUUUUCUUCUCAAGAGGAACGUUUAUUGCAAGAAGAACAAUUCUACAGUAUGAGAUACAUUUUGCUAUUCUCUUUCACCCCGCUGGACCUUUUGUUUCUCAUUCUGAAUUCAGCCAUUCUGUGGCAAUCAUAUGCUCAGCCUGUGCAUGACUUUGCAUGUGGUUACACAUCAAUUUUACAGUGCUGCUCCCUUUUGCCCUCAAACCAGAGCCCGUAAGUGCUUUGUGCCCUCUUGCCUUCCUUCCCCGUGGAACUGCAUCCCAGCUGCUGGAAAGAGCCAUGCUGCAGGAGGAAUGGGCAAGGGCAAAAGCAGGCAGCAGUCUUGGCCUUUAUCUUAAUAAAUGAAGAAAAGAGAGACUGUUCCAAAAUAGAGACAUCCUGGAAGAACAGAAAGCAGCAUGGAGAAUUGUUGCUCUUUUCCUUGCUCCUGAGCCUCCCCAAGGAUGUCCAGACGAGAAGGAUGGAUGUCAUUUUGUCAUAGCAAACAUUGCAUUUUCUCCUGCUAAAUCAAAGCAGUUAACAUAUGCAGGUCACUUAUGAAGAAGCUAAACAGUCCCGGAUCCAGUACCAGCUCCUGGAGUACGCUGCUGCUGACUGGUACACCACUGCAUCCAGCUGGGCUUCAUGUGGAUCAACAGAUGAUUAUCCUUUGAGCUGAAUACUUCAACCAGUUUUCAAUCCGCCUCAUGACAAUGACUUGUCAGAUUGUCAGGAAGCCUAAUGGGAAGGAUGUGCUUCAGUGAAAUAAAAUAACUAGAGGGCCUUCCUUUGCAAAUCAUUUUAAGGUUUCACUUCUGUUUUACCUAAUCUCUUGGUUUACCUCUGUUUUAAAGAGUUAAUUCUUCCUGUUUGAAUUUUGAUAGAAUAUGUCUUUUCACUUGGAAACAUGGUUCCUUUCAUUUUUAAGGAGCCGGGGUGUUAAUUUUACAACAUUUAAAUAAAUCUGCCUCACAGUCCCCAUCCAACAUGAAGUACUGUCCCUUGCUCACCCAAAAAAGUAGCUCAAUAUCCGAUUUUCAGAAACUGACCAUAACUUUGUCUUUUUCUAACUACAUCUGGACUGCAUCACCAUGGUGCAGGUUUAAUACUAAGGCUUAAAAAUGUAAUACAAAAUCUAUAUUUUGUCUUGUAUAACAUGUGCAGGCUGGAUAAUCAGGUGUUGAGCUUCCUGAAAAUACUCCCCUUUGAAGAAGAUGACCAGUCUUUCCAUGUUUUAAAGGGGAUUCCUUAUUUUAUUAGUUUGCCACAUGAAUCAAACUUUUGCAGAUAAAUGUGUCCUGAAUGAUUAAGCCUUGUUUUCAGCAUGGAACUCAUCCUGAGUAAAUACUGGUGCUAUCCAGAGCCACUCAUAUGUGAUGAAAGAUUAAAGAAGUGCUUUUUUCUAAGGCUUAUCUACAACUGAACCAAUACUUCUUGGUAGAACUAGAAUUUUAAGUACAUGCUAAUAAUGAUUCUUCUUUCAGUUGAGAAAACAAUUAAAAGAUUAGUUUUGAAAAGACGUAUCUUUUCUCUCUAGCCACCAUCUCGAAUUGUGAAAAUAUCAAUGUUUUUGAUAGUCACUCAUUACUGCAACUCUGAAAGGGGGGAACAAGCUUCUCUCUCUCUUGAUUAGUUUUAAAAGCAACAAUGAAACUGCAUUAGAAAUAUUUGCAAAUGGGAAAAGUGCAGAGCGUUCAAAUAGUUUGGCUUUUGAAAACAUAUAAUCAUUUAUACCGAGAAAGCAAACACGGAUUUUCCAGAAACACUAGUAUGUUCUUAGCUCUUAGUCCCUAACACAGCAAAGUAUGCUGUACAUAAAUCAUUAUACGGUUUUAAAAUUUGUGUAAUCAUGUUUUUAGUCACUUUUCUUCAAUUGCCAAAUUGUUCCGGAAGACAUUUCAUUUUAUCAGUCUUAAAUAUUUGGAACUACUGAAGCAUAUCUCUAAAAAAACUAUUAUCUUAAGAUAACAGCAUUAUCUUAUCUGUGCAGUUGAAGGGAUCUUGAAAAGUUUCCCCACUAUUCCAAGUUACUUUUCAAUAUUAGGUGAAGAUUGCCAAAUUGCAAUUUCUAAUUUCUUUAAGGAUGAUGAGGUUGGAAGUGGUGCUUUGAAUAACUAAAUAACUACUUAAAAGUUUGUUUUUACAGUACACUCUUAAAAUCAUAACAGCCUGCUCUUCUCUGUGUUAAUGAUGUAAUGCUUUUUGUGAAAGGUAAGCUCAAAAAAAGAGUCGACAACUGAAUCAUACAUCACCGGUCUAAUUCUUAAAAGCACUUCACAUCAGAGCAGAGAAAAUACCAAGCAGUUCAUUCACCUUUUGAAUACCUGAUUUUGUAUUUAAGCUGCAACAAACAAAACUAAACAUAAACUGAUCCAGUUACUUCCUCUGGAAAAUGUAUUGGCCUUUCAGGAAAUCACAGAUUUUUGUGACAGACUGAACUUCCAAGUCUUGGAGUGGAAACUUUGCUAGAGAAUUUGCAGGAGGCUAAGGGUUUCAGUUGUGUACCUGCUUUGUGAAUCUUGUGUAAGGAUAUUGUCCAAUACUUUAUCCCUAAGAUCUUGUUCUUUCAAUAUUCUUUCUGAUUUCAUUAACUUCAAUAUGUCCACUGCUAUCUUGAGUGCACACUCUGAAGAAUAUUUUUCUUCUGAAAACAGAUGGUAUGGAAAUUUGCUAAAUAUUGAUUCUGUUAAACCCAAGAUACAAAUUAAUGUUAAUUUCAGUUGAACAUGUAAAAAUACAUAUAAAUUGAUUAAAACAAAACAACAAAAAAAAAACACCUAAAGAACUGAAAUGUUUGAAAAGGUAAUUAUUAUCAGUUUUAUCUCAAUAAAUUGAAUUUGAUAGUGUAACAGUGAGGGCAACAGGAAUGCUGAAUGAGAGAAAAUUGGAUGAGAAAUAGUAUUUCCUUUUCUAUUAUGUUUUCACCCAUGAAAGAUGAUGAGCCAACUUCUGAGGCAAUUAAAAGCUGGGUUGUCAAGAAUAUGGCAUCCCAUAUGGAUUUCUGGUAACUGUACUGCUAGUCCGCCCUUUAGUCAGAACAAAACUGAUCUCUUUAAGCUGUAACAAAUAAAUAGGUGUCCAUAGAAAGUGACAGUAGUUUCAACUUGUACAGCUUUCAGACAUGAAGCUUGUUAUAUUACAUUUUUGCUCUUUAUUAAGGUUCUACUCAUAAACAUAUUGCAUUUAUUUGUUUGGGUCUUGCCUUUCUUACAUUGACAAGUAAUAAUGCAUAAAGCCAUUAUUUGGGUGGGAGAGGAAAGCAAUUGAAUAUAUCUAGGUCCUUUAAUAAACUUUAUAGGUUGUAUUUUCUAA